rnacentral:rRNA from 1 species
GACGAACGCUGGCGGCGUGCUUAACACAUGCAAGUCGAGCGGUGAACCGGGCUUCGGCCCGGGGAUCAGCGGCGAACGGGUGCGUAACACGUGGGCAACCUGCCCCUCACUCUGGGAUAACCCCGGGAAACCGGAGCUAAUACCGGAUACUCUCGCGGAGCCACAUGGCCCUGCGAGGAAAGGUCCGCCGGUGAGGGGUGGGCCCGCGGCCUAUCAGCCUGUUGGUGGGGUCAUGGCCCACCAAAGCGACGACGGGUAGCUGGUCUGAGAGGACGCCCGGCCACACUGGGACUGAGAUACGGCCCAGACUCCGACGGGAGGCAGCAGUGGGGAAUCUUGCGCAAUGGGCGAAAGCCUGACGCAGCGACGCCGCGUGGGGGAUGAAGGCCUUCGGGUUGUAAACCCCUUUCGGGAGGGAAGAUGGGAUAGGGUAACCUAUUCGGACGGUACCUCCAGAAGCAGCCACGGCUAACUUCGUGCCAGCCGCCGCAGUAAUAC